rfam:Polaromonas sp. CG9_12 genome assembly, contig: scf7180000000016
GGGUCUGUAGCUCAGCUGGUUAGAGCACUGUGUUGAUAACGCAGGGGUCGUUGGUUCGAGUCCAACCAGACCCA